rnacentral:rRNA from 1 species
UACGAAGGGGCUAGCGUUGCUCGGAAUCACUGGGCGUAAAGGGUGCGUAGGCGGGUCUUUAAGUCAGGGUGAAAUCCUGGAGCUCAACUCCAGAACUGCCUUGAUACUGAAGAUCUUGAGUUCGGGAGAGGUGAGUGGAACUGGCGAGUGUAGAGGUGAAAUUCGUAGAUAUUCGCAAGAACACCAGUGGCGAAGGCGGACUCACUGGCCCGAUACUGACGCUGAGGUGCGAAAGCGU